ACCUCACCGCCCAAUGGGAAGAGGCAAAGCCUCGGAUGGGCGGGGUCGCACGUAUUGGGGCGGGCCUAGCCGGCCGGGAAAUAUAAAUUAUGCGCUAGCGUCCCCUUCUGGCUGCCAACGGUAGGGGCGAUUCCCUGAGAGGUGUGGCCUUUGAGUGGGCGCGGCCUCGAAGAAGGGGCGGAGCCGAAUGCCUACAGAGGGCUCGCGUCAGCAGAGUUCUUUUGGAGGCUGUGAAGACUUUAUGGAGUCGAGCCCAGAUGGAAGAGGUUCUCAGACCACCUGAAGUGAGCUACAGAUGAGAUGGGAGUAACUCCGCCUUCUCCAUCCACCAUGCCCUACAACCCCUUGACGCGGAGUACAGUUGGGAACAGCAAUGGCAGCUGGAACAGUACUUCGAGAAGGAGCCACCCAGACCUCGAGGCUCGAAGGGAUCUGGCCACCAAACUUGACCUGACCGAGGAACAAGUUGAGACUUGGUUCGUUCAGCCCUCCUUGGAGGAGGAGAUGCCGCGACCAAACUCCUUUCCAUAUUCCUUUGCUUACCGAUGUCCAGGA